rnacentral:rRNA from 1 species
CUGCUGCCUCCCGUAGGAGUCUGGUCCGUGUCUCAGUACCAGUGUGGGGGACCUUCCUCUCAGAACCCCUAGACAUCGUCGCCUUGGUGGGCCGUUGCCCCGCCAACUAGCUAAUGUCACGCAUGCCCAUCCGUUGCCGGAAUCGCUCCCUUUGGCCGCAGGGCCAUGCAGCCCCGCGGCAUUACGCGGUAUUAGACGGGAUUUCUCCCGAUCAUCCCCCUGCAACGGGCAGGUCGCAUACGCGUUACUCA